AAACUUUCAACAACGGAUCUCUUGGCUCUGGCAUCGAUGAAGAACGCAGCGAAAUGCGAUAAGUAAUGUGAAUUGCAGAAUUUAGUGAAUCAUCGAAUCUUUGAACGCACAUUGCGCCCCUUGGUAUUCCGAGGGGCAUGCCUGUUCGAGCGUCAUAA
rnacentral:rRNA from 2 species